GCUAAGGGUGUCUGGGAAAUGAUGGCUGAGGAAGAGGAAGAAGUCAAGGAGAUUUUGCCGAAAUUGCAGGAACUGGUGGAUCGGCUCUAUUCAUUUCGAGAGUGCUAUUUCGAGACACACAGUGUUGAGGAUGCUGGGAGGAAGCAACAGGAUGUGCGGGAGGAGAUGGAGAAGACCCUGCAGCAGAUGGAGGAAGUAGUGGGUUCUGCCCAGGGCAAGGCACAGGUUCUGAUGCUAACUGGGAAGGCACUGAAUGUGACUCCUAACUAUAGCCCUAAGGCUGAGGAGCUUCUGUCAAAGGCUGUGAAGCUGGAGCCCAAGCUGGUGGAAGCCUGGAACCAGCUGGGUGAGGUGUACUGGAAAAAAGGGGAUGUUGCAGCUGCCCACACCUGCUUCUCAGGAGCUCUCACCCAUUGCAAGAACAAAGUCUCCCUUCAAAACCUGUCAAUGGUGCUUCGCCAACUGCGGACUGACUCUGGAGAUGAACAUUCUCGCCAUGUCAUGGACAGUGUCCGACAGGCUAAGUUGGCUGUGCAGAUGGACAUCCUUGAUGGCCGCUCUUGGUAUAUUCUGGGGAAUGCGUACCUUUCUCUUUACUUUAAUACUGGCCAGAACCCCAAGAUCUCCCAGCAAGCCCUCAGUGCCUAUGCCCAAGCAGAGAAGGUUGACAGGACAGCUUCCAGCAAUCCUGAUCUUCAUUUGAACAGGGCAACGUUACAUAAAUAUGAAGAGAAUUAUGGGGAGGCCCUGGAAGGCUUUUCUCGGGCUGCAGCACUGGACCCUGCCUGGCCAGAGCCCCAGCAGCGAGAGCAGCAACUACUGGAUUUCCUGAAUAGAUUAACCAGCCUCCUUGAGAGCAAGGGGAAGGUGAAGACCAGAAAGUUACAGAGCAUGCUGGGAAGCUUGCGCCCAGCCCAUUUAGGCCCUUGUGGAGAUGGGCACUAUCAGUCAGCCUCUGGGCAGAAGGUGACCCUGGAGCGCAAGCCCCUGAGUGCUCUGCAGCCUGGUAUAAAUAGUGGAGCUGUGGUCCUGGGAAAGGUGGUAUUCAGCCUUACUACGGAGGAGAAAGUCCCCUUUACAUUUGGCCUGGUAGAUUCAGAUGGACCUUGCUGUGCAGUGAUGGUAUAUAAUAUGGUGCAGAGCUGGGGAGUGCUCAUUGGGGACUCUGUAGCCAUCCCUGAGCCUAACCUUCGGCUUCACCGAAUUCAGCACAAGGGAAAGGACUAUUCCUUUUCCAGUGUUCGUGUGGAGACGCCCCUCCUGCUGGUGGUGAAUGGGAAGCCUCAGGGCUCCAGCAGCCAGGCCGCUGCCACAGUGGCAUCGAGGCCACAGUGUGAAUGACCUUCCUUGGAUGGCAUGCUAAAGAGGGAGUAGAGGCAAGCAGAAAAGCUCAAGGGCACUCGGCAACUGCACCAGCCAGAUCCAGUGACGCAACUGGAAUUGGGGGGACGUUUUAGAUGACAACUUUCCUUUCCUCUGCCCUAGCACAGGCUCCGGACGCGCAGGCUUAGCGGCCAUGGCUCACGGGCCUAGCCACUCCACGGCAUGUGGGAUCUUCCCGGACCGGGGCACGAACCCGUGUCCCCUGCAUCGGCAGGCGGACUCUCAACCACUGCACCACCAGGGAAGCCCGAGUACUCAGCUUUUGAUUAAUAAAUCAAACUUGCAUUCUUGGUACAAAACUUACUUGGUCAGGAUAUGUAUUUUUUUUUAUAUCGCUGGAUUUACUUGUGUAAUAUUUAAGAUUUUAUAUCUGUGGGUCACAAGUGAUAUUAGUUUAUGAGUCUACACUAUUUCUUAAUCUAUUCUAGUCUGGUUUUGGUAUUAAAGUUAUGCUAGCCUCAUACAGUGAGUAAAGAGCGUAUCUCCUGUAUGUUUAUUUGAAAAGAUGAUAUAAAAUCAGUUUGUCUUUUUCUUGGUAGAACUUGCCCAUAAAGUCAUCAAUCAGCACCUGGCAUUUUCUUUAUGGAAAGAUUAACUUCUGAUUUAAAUUCUUUAAGGUUUAUUGGAUUGAAUUAUUCAAGUUUCUCUUGAUUAAGUUUUGAUAUUUUGUAUUUUUUAGUAAUUUAUCCAUUUCAUUUAAGUUUUCAAAUUUACUCUCCUAAAUAUUUGUAGUAUGUUCCUUAUUUGUUUAUUCUCUAUGAUAUCAGUCAUUUUGUCCCCUUUUUCUCUAACGUAUUAUUGGUAUUAUUCAUUUGUACCUUAUCACUUCUCCUUCAGCCUUUUGUCUCUUACAAGUCUUCAAAGAAAUUGACUUUGUUUACCCUCAUCUUUUGUAGUUUUUUUCUUUUUCAUUAGUUUUUAUUUUUAUCUUCAUAAUAUCCUUUUUUUCUCCUGUUAUAAGAGUGCCUAUUCAUGAGCUGGGAUAUAAUUUUUGUAUCUGACAGGCAACAUGACAUUUCAUUGUUUUAAAUUUUCAUUCCUUUAGUUGUGAUGUUGAACAUCUUUUAAUAAAAUACUAGCUAGCUACUUAUAAAUUUGAUGUGUAACAGAGAGCAUCCAAGACUGAGGAAAAUGUAUUAAAAAAAAUUUAGGGAGCUAUGUUUAGGAAAUGAUAUAGCACUUUGUACCACCUAUAUUAUAUGACACAUUUUAUUGUAUUAUGAUUACUUGAUUCUAUGGUUUGAACUCUUAAAGGACAGCCACUAACUCAUACUUAUCUUUGAGUUCUAGACAUUAUUAUAUACAUCUCUGAGUGUUGGACAUUGCCUGAUUUGACAACAAAUGGCUGGCCGGCUGGACAGAUGAUUGAAAACGAGGAGGAAAAAGCAGCCGUGGAAACCUAAUUCAUGGGAACUUCUUGAAUGUACUCUCAGAUGCCAAUAAAAUCCACUGAGCAAUUUGACAGUCUUUCUUAUAUGCUCCUGUUAUGAUGAUUAAUUUUGUAAAGAUCAGUGUACCUUUUUGUUGUGAAUUAUGUUUAAUGCUAUUAGUUAUACUGUGAGGUAAAUAUGCACAACUUAUGCUGGAGUUAGAAGGACCAACAUCCGAAUAAGUUUGGAACUGUGACAUGGAUCAUGGGUUGAUGUAGUCUGUCUGUAUGAUUGCUGGUAUAACUUAAUUGACAUUUUAUCUUUUUCUUUCUGAUUUUUUUUUGUUAAAUACAUACAUAUAUACAUACACACCCAACAUCUUGCAUUUACUAAAAUAUCAUGUUUGUAUUUUUAUAUUUUACUCUGGUAAUUUACACUGCCAAUGCAGGGAGAAGAUGUAUACAAAUUUACAUUUACUAUCUCUUUAAAAGUUACUUUGUUAUUAAAGAAAAUGUUUAGGUCUAGAGGUUCCAGGUUUUUUCCCUUCCCUCAUAGCCUUUUUGUGGCUACUAAUCGCUAGCCUAUUCUUGAUUUGCCUAACUUUGUUUUUUGCCUUGUAAUUCUGCUAAGAUUGUGAAGCCAUCAAUAAAAGUUUAACUUUCGCCUUUUAUUCAUCUACCACCACCAAAAGGAAGUUGAAAGGAGAAAGUGUAUCUUAGACUGAAAAUACUAGUGCUGGAAAGCACACUUAAAUUAGGAAUUUGUUUUUACAUUAUUAUGUAACUAUCUCUACUAACUUUUUCAUCUUGUCAGCAUAUAAUUAUAUUGAUUGGCCUUCAACGAAGAAAACAGAAACCACUGAGUUUAUUAAGCAGACUUAGCACAGUGCAUUAGAUGCUUACAAAAUCAUUGGAAGAGCUAGAGAAGUAGGACUUGGGGGCUACUACUGGAGUUUCUGGGUUCCAGAAUAGACCCCAGCAGCAAGAUUUUAAGGUGGAAAAGCCUCGAUGCUACUGCCACUGCCUCAUACCCUCAACAACCGCGAAGCUAGUGCAUAGUCACUGGAAUAUGGGUCAGGCUGCCAAAAUUACUUCUCCCUUGCAUCUCAUCAUCUCUCAUUUCACAUAGGCUUUCAUAAAUGGAGAAAAAUAAGUCUGCACUGAAGCAACUAAAAUAAUUAUUGUGCAAAGAGAUUGCAUGGCUUUUCCUUACUCUAAAGGAAAAGAAAGGAAAUAUGUGAAUAUAUUAUGAACUAGCUCUCAAGUAAGGCAGAUUGAGACUGGCCUUUCUUUGUGCCUGUUUUACCUAAAUCUCAUUAGUAAGGCACACAUACCCAAAAAGAAAGGGGAAAGAAAAAUUUACACAGAAACAUUUACUCAGGAUUUUCCCUGAACCAGAUCACCACUCCUUUAUCUGUGGUCUAGGGGGAUAGCUAUUUCUGGCUAAUUAGAUAAGGCAAUCUGCUCACAUCACAGGUUUUGCCACUUGGACUGACAGUUCAUUUCCUAGUUCACCUGCAAUAAAAAUGUUUCACAAUGAAUUAAACUUUAAAACAUUGAUUCAGAUUAAUGUUCUAACCUGAUUGCACUCUAAAAAUGCCUGCUUUAAGAGGAAAAAUGUUACCUUCUUCCUUUGAAUGUAUUAGUCAGCACUUCCAAUUCACACAGCCAUGCCUCCAUCUUUUCUAUAAAUCACCUGCCAACAACAACAAAACAACAAUGGUAAUGUAAGCAUUAAUAAAAAUGCCUACUUUUCACCUUUUUCUUAAUUUCCAGUGACUAUGCAGAUUCUCUUAGCCUAAGCUGCUGUUUAAACACAUUUUCUCAAUAACGUACAAAUCAACCAGUCCUCCAACAACUGUUGUAGAAAAAGAUUUGCAAAGAUUCAUCUAAGGAACACCAACACCCCAAAAUUAAAUAGUGUGUGCUCUUUCCGGGAAUUCAUGUAACAUUUACAAAAACAUGAUUAACAUACAGGCCUUAGAGUCUCAAUAAAUACCAGAAACUCUGUUAUUAUACAAUGCAUUAUCUAAUUACAAUGCAAUAAAAAUAUGAAAUGAUAAAUAGUCCUCCCUUACCCAACCCUCUUCCCCUUCCAAAAAAAAAGAACCCUGUGUCUUUGGAAAUAAGAAAAAGAGCUUUGUAAAUAAGUCAUGAGUUAAAAAAAACAUAAUGACAAUGACAAAAACAUUUAGAACUGAAUAAUACAAAUAAAGUACAUAUCAAACUUCCAAAGAACAUUUUUUAGUCAUAAAUACCAUGUUAAAAUAAAGAAAAAAAUGUAAGUUUAGUGUUCUACAAAAGAAAUUAGGGAAAAACAACUGAAGAAGAAUAAAAGAAUAAAAGGAUAAAAAUUAUAAAGAAAUAAAGGAUAAAAAUUAAAAGGGCAGAAACUAAAGAAAUUUUCUCUGGCUUUCUCUGUGAAUCUAGCUUAAAACCAAUGAGGAUACUAGAAGAAGGAGGGUUUUUGGACAAUUUUGUUCUUGAACACAGCAUAUGUAACAGUUUGGAUUUGGUAAGGGUAGCUGAACUACUAGGAGUGACAUGGAAUGAGGGAUUAAUUAUAAAGAUUAGACUUUACACAAUAAUGAGAAUUAGUGAAGAAUACUAUGGAAGGUAGGUUGUUGCUUUCAAAGCUGGUGCUGAAUCUGAAGUUGCUGCAUGUCAGCAAGACUGAUGGCUGAGAAGAUGUGGAAUCUAAAGUCUGUUGACGGCAUAAAACUGAGAGCAUAAAAUAGGAUCUUCUGUUUUUCUACUCUGAUCAUCUCUUCACUUUGUUUGGAGUGUUCAAUUAACUUGCAUUUACUGCAACGAUUGAUAUGGUACCUUGACAAGUUUGUGAUUUGAUUUCUAUAUGUCCCAUGUCUGUCUUAUCAUGCUACUCCCUUAAUGAUGCAGUGCUUUCUUCCCAAUAGCUUUUUACUUUUCUUAGGAGAAAUUCAAAAACUAUGUAAUAUUUCUUGUCUAGAUAAAUCCCACAUACUCCAGGUUUAAGCCAUAUUACAUUUCAUUUAGUUCAAUUCACACCUUCACCAAAUUUUACCUCUUUAAGACACUGGUGCGCUUUUUUUUUCUGAUUAAAAAUGUCUCUAUCUAUCAGCUAACCUGGCUAACUCUGGCUCAUCCUUUAUGUAUCAGCUGAAACCUUGCAUACAUUUUUUAUAUAAUAUUAAAACCUUCCAUAAUGUAUUCAUACCACUCUCUACUUCCUCUGUGGUAAAAGAGGUACAAUUUUACUUUAGUUACUUGUUAAGGUAUCUGCUUUCUGCCUUAGAACAUAUGUAUAUCCUGUGAAGUCAGGAACUAUAGUAUCAUGUAUUUCUAACUUCUAGUUUAGGAACUGGAAAAUAAUUAGUAUUCAAUGACCAUCUGACAAAGGAAUGUAGUAAUAUAUUGUCAUGAAAUGAUUUCAAAUCAACGGGGACUUCGACUCAAGAAGCUUGUAAUAGGACAACAAAAUAAGCUGUACAAUACAAAGAAGGUAUAAAUACAGUUAAAAGCAGGAGUCAUUUUUGAACUUUUUAGUAAUUGAACACUGAAGAAAUGUACAAAAGAUAAGAAAAUGUCCACAUGCUCCCCUCCACGCAUUUACUACCCAGCUUCAACUCUUACCAAUAUAUGUCUAACUGUGUUUUUUCCCCCUAUGCUUCUAAGUAAAAUGGCUAAGUACAAGGGUCAAUGGUGUGUAUAAUUUUACAGACACUGCUAACUGCACUUCUAUAAUAGUUGUUGCAUUUUGCAUUCUCAGUUGCAGUAUAUGAGGGUGCCUCUAGUCUGGUCAAGAGAGUAUGUUGUGAAAUUUUGAAUUCUUACCAAUAAAAUAUAUGAGAGAUGAUAUUUCAGUGUAGUUCUACUUUUAAAAC